GUAAGGUCGGGAUACCCCGGGAACUGGGGAUAAUACCGGAUAGAUCAUCUGUGCUGGAAGGCUGGGUGGUUGAAACUUCCGGGGCUUUUGGAUGGGUCUGCGGCUGAUUAGGUUGUUGCCGGUGUAACGUACCGUCAAGCCUGUAAUCAGUACGGGUUGUGGGAGCAAGAGCCCGGAGAUGGAUUCUGAGACACGAAUCCAGGCCCUACGGGGCGCAGCAGGCGCGAAAACUCUACAAUGCAGGCAACUGCGAUAGGGGAACAUCGAGUGAUCCUCAUAUUGGGGGUCUGUCCACCCGUCUAAAAAACGGGUGUUAGCAAGGGCCGGGCAAGACCGGUGCCAGCCGCCGCGGUAAUACCGGCGGCUCGAGUGGUGGCCGAUAUUAUUGAGUCUAAAGGGUCCGUAGCCGGCUUUGCAAGUCUCUCGGGAAAUCCAGCGGCUUAACCGUUGGUCGUCCGGGGGGUACUACAUUGCUUGGGACUGGGAGAGGUAGGAGGUACUCAGGGGGUAGGAGUGAAAUCCUGUAAUCCUUUGGGGACCACCGGUGGCGAAGGCGUCCUACCAGAACAGGUCCGACGGUGAGGGACGAAAGCUAGGGGCACGAACCGGAUUAGAUACCCGGGUAGUCCUAGCCGUAAACGAUGCUCGCUAGGUGUCACAACAGUCGUGAAUUGUUGUGGUGCCGUAGGGAAGCCGUGAAGCGAGCCACUUGGGAAGUACGACCGCAAGGUUGAAACUUAAAGGAAUUGGCGGGGGAGCAC
rnacentral:rRNA from 1 species